rnacentral:rRNA from 1 species
GUGAGAAUGUUGGCAUGAGUAGCGAGAUGUGGGUGAGAAUCCCACAGGCCGUAAACCCAAGGUUUCCAGGGGAAGGUUCGUCCGCCCUGGGUUAGUCGGGACCUAAGCUGAGGCCGAAAGGCGUAGGUGAUGGACAACAGGUUGAUAUUCCUGUACUACCGAUAACCGUUUGAGAGAAGGGAUGACACAGUAGGAUAAGCUAAGCACACUGUUGGUUAUGUGUGCCCAAGCAUUGAGGCAGUCAAAGUAGGCAAAUCCGCUUUGAUAAUGCUGGGAUGUGAUGGGGAGCGAAAUUUAGUAGCGAAGUAGCUGAUUUCACACUGUCAAGAAAAGUCUCUAUCGAGGUUAAAGGUACCCGUACCGCAAACCGACACAGGUGGGUGAGGAGAGUAUCCUAAGGCCAGCGAGAGAACUGUUGUUAAGGAACUCGGCAAAAUGACCCCGUAACUUAGGGAUAAGGGGUGCCACCAUCAGGUGGCCGCAGAGAAUAGGCCCAAGCGACUGUUUACCAAAAACAUAGGUUUCUGCUAAGUCGCAAGACGAUGUAUAGGAGCUGACGCCUGCCCGGUGCUGGAAGGUUAAGGGGAUCUGUUAGAG